GACGAACGCUGGCGGCGUGCUUAACACAUGCAAGUCGAACGGAAAGGCCCUGCUUUUGUGGGGUGCUCGAGUGGCGAACGGGUGAGUAACACGUGAGUAACCUGCCCUUGACUUUGGGAUAACUUCAGGAAACUGGGGCUAAUACCGGAUAGGAGCUCCUGCUGCAUGGUGGGGGUUGGAAAGUUUCGGCGGUUGGGGAUGGUCUCGCGGCUUAUCAGCUUGUUGGUGGGGUAGUGGCUUACCAAGGCUUUGACGGGUAGCCAGCCUGAGAGGGUGACCGGCCACAUUGGGACUGAGAUACGGCCCAGACUCCUACGGGAGGCAGCAGUGGGGAGUAUUGCACAAUGGGCGGAAGCCUGAUGCAGCAACGCCGCGUGCGGGAUGACGGCCUUCGGGUUGUAAACCGCUUUCGCCUGUGACGAAGCGUGAGUGACGGUAAUGGGUAAAGAAGCACCGGCUAACUACGUG
rnacentral:rRNA from 1 species